UACGAAGGGAGCUAGCGUUGUUCGGAAUUACUGGGCGUAAAGGGUGCGUAGGCGGUUUGACAAGUCAGAUGUGAAAGCCCCGAGCUCAACUCGGGAACUGCGUUUGAGACUGUUUUACUAGAAUUCGGGAGAGGUGAGUGGAAUUCCCAGUGUAGAGGUGAAAUUCGUAGAUAUUGGGAAGAACACCGGUGGCGAAGGCGGCUCACUGGACCGACAUUGACGCUGAGGCACGAAAGCGUGGGGAGCAAACAGG
rnacentral:rRNA from 1 species